GGAGUUAGGAAAUGCAGGUUGGUUAAUACCCAACCUGUUUGACAAAGGCCCCAAAGGAAGCCACGGCUAACUCUGUGCCAGCAGCCGCGGUAAUACAGAGGUGGCAAGCGUUGUUCGGUAUUAUUGGGCGUAAAGAGCACGUAGGUGGUUUUGUAAGUCAGAUGUGAAAGCCUUCUGUUCAAAGGAAGAACGGCAUCUGAAACUGCAGAUCUUGAGUGUAGGAGGGGAGAGUGGAACUUCUG
rnacentral:rRNA from 1 species